UACGUAGGGUGCAAGCGUUAAUCGGAAUUACUGGGCGUAAAGCGUGCGCAGGCGGCUUUGCAAGACAGAUGUGAAAUCCCCGGGCUCAACCUGGGAACUGCAUUUGUGACUGCAUGGCUAGAGUAUGGGAGAGGGAAGUGGAAUUUCCGGUGUAGCGGUGAAAUGCGUAGAUAUCGGAAGGAACAUCAGUGGCGAAAGCGACUUCCUGGACCAAUACUGACGCUCAUGUGCGAAAGCGUGGGGAGCAAACAGG
rnacentral:rRNA from 1 species